rnacentral:rRNA from 1 species
CCCUUAGAUGUUCUGGGCUGCACGCGCGCUACACUGAUGCGCUCAACGAGUUUUAACCUUGCCUGGAAAGGUUGGGUAAUCUUUUUAAAACGCAUCGUGAUGGGGAUAGAUUAUUGCAAUUAUUAAUCUUCAACGAGGAAUUCCUAGUAAGCGCAAGUCAUCAGCUUGCAUUGAUUACGUCCCUGCCCUUUGUACACACCGCCCGUCGCUCCUACCGAUUGAAUGAUCCGAUGAAUAUCAUGGACUGAGAGUGUUAGAGUUUUCGGACUUCUACACUUCUCGGGAAGUGAAGUGAAUCUUAUCAUUUAGAGGAAGGAGAAGUCGUAACA